GUUCCCAUCCCGAACACAGCAGUUAAGCCCUCCAGCGCCGAUGGUACUGCACCGGUGACGGUGUGGGAGAGUAGGUCACUGCCGGAA
rnacentral:rRNA from 1 species